rnacentral:sRNA from 1 species
GGAUACUGAAGUUUGAAUUUUACAUGCUACUCAUGCUUCACGGAAUGUUUUUUGUAUGAUAUUUUUUCUUUCUAAUUAAAGAUAUAUAAACCAUUUUGGAUUCACAGACCUUACAAAUAGAGGCUGUGAGUUGGAUUUGGCCCACAGGCAGCAGUUUGCUUAUCUCUGCUUUUAUCAGGCAGUGAUAAAUAAGUAUAGCCAUAGAAUGAAAAGUAAAAGGGAGGCCUGCCUCUUCCUAAUUAUGUAGGUAGCUUUACAACUAGCAUGUCAGAAGCAUUGUGUUAAUAAUAUACUGGGUUUUGGUUUCAGGUGGCACAUUUAGAACGAACAGGGCAUUACUUAACUGUGAAAGAUAACCAGGUGGUUCAGUUGCAUCCCUCUACUGUUCUUGACCACAAACCUGAAUGGGUGCUUUAUAAUGAGUUUGUUCUAACAACAAAGAAUUACAUCCGGACAUGUACAGAUAUCAAGCCAGAAUGGUUGGUGAAAAUUGCCCCUCAAUAUUAUGACAUGAGCAAUUUCCCACAGUGUGAAGCAAAGAGACAGUUGGACCGCAUCAUUGCCAAACUUCAAUCCAAGGAAUAUUCACAGUACUGAAUUCAGUGCUUAGAACUGAAGUUAUUGAGAGGACAGCUUUAAAAGAUGAAUGAACUCAAAAGUUCGAGUUGUGCUCUUCACGUUGGUUCGAUAAUGGCCUUUAUUUGAAAGCUUUUUAAUUUUUCUUUACAGUAAAUAUUCCAUUCUGAUUUCAUAAAUUAAAC